UACGUAGGGUGCAAGCGUUAAUCGGAAUUACUGGGCGUAAAGCGUGCGCAGGCGGUUGUGUAAGACAGAUGUGAAAUCCCCGGGCUCAACCUGGGAACUGCAUUUGUGACUGCACGGCUCGAGUGCGGCAGAGGGGGAUGGAAUUCCGCGUGUAGCAGUGAAAUGCGUAGAUAUGCGGAGGAACACCGAUGGCGAAGGCAAUCCCCUGGGCCUGCACUGACGCUCAUGCACGAAAGCGUGGGGAGUAAACAGG
rnacentral:rRNA from 1 species